rnacentral:misc_RNA from 1 species
CAAUUGAGAAUUCUAAUUUUUAGCUCAACAUAAGGAACUGCAACAAUAUUUGCGUUACCCGUUUUCUGUUGCCAACAAUUAUUGUUUAACUUGAUGGGAAAUUGUAUAAAGUUGCCUCUCAUAAUUUUGUAUGUAAUUUGUAACUGGAAUUAGCUUAAUGAGAUGCAGCUUCCUAGCAUUGCACACCAUAAAGCUAAUUCCAGUUACAAAUUACAUACA